rnacentral:rRNA from 1 species
UACGUAGGCAGCAAGCGUUGUUCGGAGUUACUGGGCGUAAAGCGCACGUAGGCGGCUUUUUAAGUCAGAGGUGAAAGCCCGGAGCUCAACUCCGGAAUUGCCUUUGAGACUGGGAGGCUUGAAUCCAGGAGAGGUGAGUGGAAUUCCGAGUGUAGAGGUGAAAUUCGUAGAUAUUCGGAAGAACACCAGUGGCGAAGGCGG